AACGAACGCUGUCGGUAUGCUUAACACAUGCAAGUCGGACGGACUAAUUAGGGCUUGCUCCCUUUAGUUAGUGGCAGACGGGUGAGUAUCACGUGUGGAUCUGCCCAUCAUUACGGAGUGACUUUUAGAAAUAACAGCUACUACCGUAUAUUCUCUACUUGGAACAGAUUUAUCGCUGAUGAAUGAGGCCGCGUCAGAUUCGUUAGUUGGUGAGGUAACGGCUCACCAAGCCGGCGAUCUGUAGCUGGUAUGAGAGGAUGAGCAGACACACUGGGACUGAGACACGGCACAGACUCCUACGGGAGGGAGGAGUGGGGAAUAGUGGAAAAUGGGCGAAAGCAUGAUCCAGCAAUAACGGGUGAGUGAUAAAGGCACGAGGGUUGUAAAGCUCUUGUAGCAAGGAAGAUAAUGACGGUACUUGCAGAAAAAGCCCCGGCUAACUACGUG
rnacentral:rRNA from 1 species